UGUUGUCAAAAUUAUUCAUCUAGUUCAAUUAAGUUCUAUGAUGUAUAAAGUAUGUACUUGGCAAGAAAAAUACAAGGGGUUACCUGGAUAUAUGAUGCUGCAGUACACAUAUAUUUAUCUAACUAAAAUUAAGCCCACCACUUCCCGCUCUCAUAUUACUUCAGAAUCAUCAGUAUGAGAAAACAUUGAUACCCAUUACUUUAUACUGAUAAACUCCAUGCUCCGAGACAAGGUUGCACACGUCAUCGCCGACAAUUCCCUUCUCUUCUCGAAUCAACAUAUAACCAUGUUUUUAUCUUACAAGAGAAGGGAAUCCUCGCAAUCUGCUAGAUACAACAAGGUACUUUUGUAUGACGUGCCUGAGCCAUCAAUUUGCCGGUCCUUUUCUUCCUGAAACCAACAGAGACAACACCGACUGAUUUUCCAGCACGCAAUAGCUUCCCCUCAACUUCUAUUUCUUCCUGUAAAAAUAAAAGAAAUAGUUUACGGCAUGUCAAAUAACUAUUAAAAUAACAUAAGAGUGAAAAGACAAAGGUAUGUACAAAAUUAAUCAAGCCUUAUGAUGCUAUUCUAGCAAGAAACUGGCCAAAUCUGCCCUUUGGGGGGUAGGGGUGGGGGCAAAAAUUAUGAGAAAAGAUAACGCCCAUAUGUGUGGGUGUUUGCAAACCGUCCACACGCAUGAAUCUGCGUCUGUUUGUGCUUUGCAUUAAUCUUGGUAUUUUUUGAUAGUUUUUCUGUACCACGUAGGACUGAACUGGUGUGUCGGUAUUUAACCACUUCGCCCACACGGCCGUUUCUUUCUCAGCAGGAAUCUUUUUUGGUUUUCGGUUUAAAAAUGUUUUAUCAUGACAACUUCAGUGUAACAUCAUGACAACUGUUGAAGCACCCAUUUUUUUAAAUGUAACAUCAUGGCAACUGUUGUAACAUCAUGAAAUUUUUUUAAAUGUAGAAGAAAAAAUAGGUGAAACAUAUCAUGGCAACUUCAGUGUAAACACCAUGGCAUGGCAACUACAGUGUAACAUCAUGGCAACUGUUGUCCAAAAAAAUAAUUUAUCGAAAUAUAUUGAUAUGAGAUCUAGUUUCGAAGAUCUCGUCGCGAUGGAUUUAAUGAUAAAAACGGAUCUUCAAUCGGAUUUUUCAUUUACAAGAUAAAACAUUUUAAAAACUCAAAAUCCAAAAAGAUACCCACAUGCAUACAUGUGGUUUGGGCGUUAGCUAUUUUGCCCACACUCAGGCGUGUGAGCUAUUUCUCUUACACACCACACAAGAUGUAUGGGCAACACCCCUUAACACCCAGACGUGUGGGUGUUAUCAGGACCCAAAAUUAUAACCAAGCAACCUGAAAAGUACGUUUGGAUUUUUCAGAGCAAUAUUUGGACAACAUGACAAUAACUAUGAUCCUGAACUAAUUCUAGGAACCUCUUCAGAGCAAUAUCUGAACAAGAUGACAAUAAUUCAGAUCCUAAACUUAUUCUAGGAAACAUUUUGUACCCAGCUCCAGUCUGUAUUGAGCGAGUCAAAGGAAACAAAAAAUGAAUAACACCGUGUAAAUGCAGGCGCACUGAAUUCAACCAUCUUUUCUAAUUAGUACACACUUAUAUUCCUAUAAUAUUAAAAUGACUGGACGGUAAGAAGUGGUGGACCUUUUAUCUUGCCAAUUGAGAAAUAUUCAGUCGAGUAACAGACAAAAAAGAUCUCCACAUUUGAUCUGAACCAAUGAGAAAAGAGGGUCGUGUAUUUAACAUAGGUUCUGAAGUACGAGAAGAAUGCUCACCAAUUUGUUUCAGAUUCGAACUGAAUGCAUAAUAUCUUAGAUCGCGCAACCU
rnacentral:lncRNA from 1 species